CACUGUUUCUACUGUGGCCUCCCACUCCCUAUCUCCUGACCCUCCCACCACACACACACACACACACACACACACACACACACACACACACGGUAGGCAAUACUUCACAUUCACCAGCUUCCAAGGCAUGCUACACAGAUUCUUUGCGAAGCAAAUUCUAAAUGAUAGCCCAUCCCACUUGUUAGAGAAAUUUUAUAACAUCUCCAGUACUUUUUCAUGCUGACGUGUUAAAUAAGUCAAUACUAACCUUAAAUUUAACACUAUUCAUUAUUAACAUAUCCACUCAUUGGCAAGAAAUACAAGAUAAAACUCCUAUAAUUUGACCUUUUAUGAGGAAUGCAUCAUAACUCACUUUGGGCAAUGCUGAGGAAAAGAGAGUCAGCCAAUUACGCAAGCACUACACUGAAUAUUAAAGACACCGUGGCAAGCAGGAUUUUUGGUGUAUACGAGAAGAGAGCUGAUACAUGGAUAAAAUAAUACGUGUUGUGUCCAGUGAAGAGAAGUGGUGUGAACAGAAAAAGUGCAGAUCCAGGCGGAAUAAGGGCAUUAGAACAGUGGUUACUGCUUCAACGGUGUCAUCAGGAGAGACCCCUGAGCAGAGACUGGAAGGAAGUGGAAUGAAAGUGCCAUCUUCACGGUUCCAGAAGGACUAUCCCAAGCACCAUCUCCUUAUUGCUGUGAAUGUUAACUUCCAGACCUUCUGAUACAAAAUGAAAGCAAAUAUUGGCCGCGUAGCCUCUCUGUACCUUCAUUCCCAGCUCCACUCCCAACAUGAUCUUAGGAAGAGAGGCCAUGCAAACGGAACAAGAUGCACAUUGCUCCUAUGUAGUGUUGGAACUGACCCUGAAGCCUGGGUCUGGUGGCUCGAGUCACUGAAAACAGAGGCAAAUGAAUUUACAAGGCAAUGACUUGAGGCUUCUGACUGCAUUUUACACAUAUACAUAUACAUGUUAUUUAUCUUGAAGUUUGCCAGAGCCUAUCUGUGGGUAGAGAAUAAAGCCCAGGAUGUGAUCUUACCGUUAAAUACACAGGCAUCCGACACUGGCUAUCUAGUGCA